GCUCAGGAUGAACGCUAGCGGCAGGCCUAAUACAUGCAAGUCGAACGAUAUCAUCCAGCUUGCUGGAUGAGAAAGUGGCGCACGGGUGCGUAACGCGUAUGCAACCUACCUUAAUCAGGGGGAUAGCCCGGAGAAAUCCGGAUUAAUACCGCAUAAAAUCACAGUCCCACCUGGGACAAUGAUCAAACAUUUAUGGGAUUGAGAUGGGCAUGCGUGUCAUUAGCUAGUUGGCGGGGUAACGGCCCACCAAGGCGACGAUGACUAGGGGAUCUGAGAGGAUGGCCCCCCACACUGGUACUGAGACACGGACCAGACUCCUACGGGAGGCAGCAGUAAGGAAUAUUGGUCAAUGGAGGCAACUCUGAACCAGCCAUGCCGCGUGCAGGAAGACUGCCCUAUGGGUUGUAAACUGCUUUUAUCCGGGAAUAAACCUCUUUACGUGUAAAGAGC
rnacentral:rRNA from 1 species